AAAAAAAGAUGCAGCCGCCCCCUUCCCUAAAUUUCUAAUUCCCGAUUCUGUCGUUUCUGAGCGAAUUGAAUUGAAGUAGCACGGCAGAUUCUCUCAUUCUCCCAAACUCUCACUCCCCCAUUCUCCCAGGCUCCUAGCCAAGCAGCGACGGUCGACGAGCACAGGCACAAUCCCUGCGACGCUGCCACCGCCUCCCCUGCGACGCGACGCCGACUCCUCCGCCCCAGCCACCGCCGGCCGCUGCCUCCGCACCAGACCGCACAGCCGCCAACUUGUUUUUAGAUUUGGGGCAUUUAUUUUGGAGUGCCCAAAGUUCAACAAGGAUUGAAGAGGUGCUAUAGGAGGACCAUAAUGUAAAACACAUGAGCGAAAGCUUUCAGAAGCCGGAAACAAUCUUCUGAUCUUUCAAAACUUAUAAGGCAACUCAAUAUCCAUGAUAAUCGAGCAGCUGCUGCUUCUAACUACUCAAAUGGUGAAGCGGGUAAAUAUUAGGCUUAAUACUCUUUUCAGUUCUAAUCUGCACAUUUAGUGUUUUCCGAAUAGGCAGAUUGUGUAUCAAGUUAUAUAGAGUAGAUAUGCAUUUGAUUAGAACUUUGUGAAAAUUUAGACUUGGUGAUUGGAGUUAUUCAUUGUAUUUGGAAGUAGAUGAUGAAUUCUUGUGUAUCUUGAAAUACUUUACAUUUUAGUAGAAGAUGAUUAUACUAAUGAAUUGAUGCUUUGGUA